rnacentral:rRNA from 1 species
UACAGAGGUCUCAAGCGUUGUUCGGAUUCAUUGGGCGUAAAGGGUGCGUAGGCGGCGCGGUAAGUCGGGUGUGAAAUCUCGGAGCUUAACUCCGAAACUGCAUUCGAUACUGCCGUGCUUGAGGACUGGAGAGGAGACUGGAAUUUACGGUGUAGCGGUGAAAUGCGUAGAUAUCGUAAGGAAGACCAGGUGGCGAAGGCGGGUCUCGUGGACA